UCAACAGUUACAGAAUUCCAUUGCCUAUUACACAUUUUUCAACAUCAGAAAAUUCUACAAAAAAGGAAGAAAUAAAAAAAAUCAAGCAACAAUAUUGUUGAGUCUUGAGACCCCACCAAUAUAUGUGACCCCAGAUAGCCCAAAUCUCAGGAACUUCCACUUUCAUAUUCAGUUCAUCAGCCAAGAUCAUAGUGUCUCCUCAAGAGACUUUAUUCUGAAAAUAUCAUAUACUUAAGAAAUGUUAACAUACAUAUGAAUUGAUUUACUAACUUUAAAAAGAAUAACAAAAUCUAUAUUUCAAAGACAACAAAAUCUAGAAAAUAGAGGCAUAACAGAAAAAUGAGCAAACCCUGAGAGAAAGUAUCCAGUAGAGAUGUGUAUUGCUUUGAGCAAACUUCCCUCAUUUAGUAGCUACUAUUCAAGGUAGAUGUUGAAAGGAGUACCCCUAGCCAUAAUUUUAUCAUUGCCAGAUUACUACAUGAGUUGAAGUGUCCACCGUGGGUACCAUCAUUUAGUUUUCUACCAUACAACUAAAAUGCUCGAGAUGAAACAACUGCUAUAACCAUCCUACGACAGAUGAAUCCACAUAUUGAGGACAUGCACAUUUGACCAACUGAAGCAUUAUCCUUCUUUAUAGACUUGGCCUAUAUCUAUGGAACGUUUUGAAACAAUCAAUUGUUUAGAUUUGCAUUUAAUAUUGAUUCAGCCAACUCAUCCCUCCAUGUGGUCCACUCCUGAUAUGAUUCAACAACAUUAAUGUUGUCAUGUUGAUACUCCACUUGUUCUUCCAUAUCAAGAUCUAAAGGAUCCACUUUCCAUCUCUCUACGAAUAAAGUUGUGCAUCAAACAACAAGCACUAAUGAUCCUAUUAUGAACCUUAACCGAGUACCACGAAGAGCUUCUAAGAAUUCUACUACGCCCUUUCAAGAGACCAAAUGCUCUUUCGAUAACAUUAUGAGCCCUAGCAUGCUUCAAAUUGAAAAGCUCUUCUCGACAUCGAGGAGGCAGAUUGUCACCUUGCCAAUCCCUUAACCAAUAUUUAUACCCUCUAUAAGGUGAAAGAAAAUCGUUUCCAUUUGUAUAUCCUCCAUCACACAAAUAAUAAUUUCCUAUAAUAUAAACAUAAAAUUUAGUUACUUUUAUGUAGCAUUCUUUUGUGAUUUAAUUUGAGUGUAUAAGCAUAUGUUUUGCAUACCCUCGGGGAUUUUCAAACCAUUUGUUUGCAUUAUUGCAUCUCGUAAUACACGACCAUCGUUAGCUGAUCUUGAUAUAACUUGAGUGUAUAAGAAUAUGUAUGACAUACCCUCGGUGUUUUUCAAACCAUUCGUUCGCACUAUAGCAUCUCGUAAUACGCGACCAUCAGCAGCUGAUCCUUCCCAAUCAGGUAAUACAUAAGUAAAAUUAAGAUUUCUAUCACAAACUCCCAAUACAUAGUUUUUAUUUCUCUUUUUCUUAUUCUGUAUCUUGGUUUGUACUCGGAUGGAACUCUAAUUUGAAUGAAAGUACCAUCAAGUGCACCUAGACAUCCGUAUAAAAUCAAUUAUAUAUUAUCUCAAACUAUUAGUUCCUUUUCGUAUGAUUAUAUUUUUUUUAGUUUUACAUAAAUUAAUUUUCAAAAGAAAUUUCACAUACCUUAAACCAUCUCCAUUGAUUUUCAAGCUCAUCUUCAAGCACUGGUUUGGGAUUAACAAGUAACAAUGGAGCUAGUCUGAGAACAACUCUCAAGCAUUCAUUGAAAGCUUGACUUACGCUCCAACCCGAUCUAACAUAGUCAACCUUAAUUGAUCUAUUCUUCUCGUGAUGAGCUAAAAUAUUUAAGAACAUUGCUAACUUUUUACUACUUGACAUGUUUUUACUAUCUGUUAAACCCCCAAUUUCCUUAGUUAAGAGAACUAAAGUGUGAAAGGAAUUUCUAUCCACUCUUAACUUAUCAAUACAUGCAAUAUCACUGUCAUGUAUGAUACAAUUCAAAUGAGACAUAAUUUUAUGAAUUCAAACACUCAUACGGUACCUAAUCACACGCCUAUUUCUAUGUUGUUUUCUUAUAGAAUGACCAUAAAUAAUAAGAACACUCAUACAGUACCUAAUCACACGCUUAUUUCUAUGUUGUCUUCUUAUAGAAUGACCAUAAAUAGUCAUUAAAAGAAAUAUAAAUACAACAAAAAAUUGUUGGUACAAUAUCUCUUCAAGAAUAAUAACGCAUUCAAUAUCGGACAAUAACUGAGUCCAUAAGAAAACCUAAUUUUGCCAUUACAAAAUGAAAAGAAUUAAUAUACAAAAAAUUACAAUUAGAAAAUGAAAUAUGUGAGUAAAAAUUUAGAAUUUUCAAGUACAUAAAAAGAAAUAAAUGAACCCAACGAAUAUUCAUAGAAGGGAUAAAUAAGAAAAUUAAUUUUCGCAAAAUAAUUUUUAAAGCCAUCAAAGCAUACAAAUGAUAACAAGAAAGAAUAAGAGAAAUGAGUUUUGAUAGAAGUUUUAACCUAAUCACUGCAUCAUAACUUCUGCAUCCAAAGAAGAGAAGAAAUCUUCCCAAGAGCAUAGACAUCUGACAGGCGAU
rnacentral:lncRNA from 1 species